AUGAACGCUAGCGGCAGGCUUAAUACAUGCAAGUCGGACGGGAUUGGGGAGCUUGCUCCCCAUAGGAGCUGGCCGCAACGGGUGCGUAACGCGUAUGCAACCUACCUUUACCUGGGGGAUAGCCUCUCGGAAACCGAGAGAUUAACACCGCAUAAAUCACAGUACGGCAUCGUACAAUGAUUCAAAUAUUCAUAGGGACUGAUGAUGGGCAUGCGUGCUGAUUAGCUAGUUGGUAGGGUAACGGCCUUACCAAGGCUACGAUGGCUAGGGGAUCUGAGAGGAUGGCCCCCCACACUGGUACUGAGACACGGGACCAGACUCCUACGGGAGGCAGCAGUAAGGAAUAUUGGUCAAUGGGACGCAAGUCCUGAACCAGCCAUGCCGCGUGCAGGAAUGACAGGUCCCUCUGGAUCGUAAACUGCUUUAUUGUACGGAAUAAACCCCGAACGUGUUCGGGCUGAAUGUACGGUACAGGAAUAAGGCAUCGGCUAACUCCGUGCCAGCAGCCGCGGUAAUACGGAGGAUGCCAAGCGUUAUCCGGAUUCAUUGGGUUUAAAGGGUGCGUAGGCGGCCUAGGUAAGUCAGUGGUGAAAUACGGUAGCUAACUAUCGCAGAACUGCCCUUGAUACUGAUGGUCUUGAAUGACUAGGAGGUCAGGCGGAAUGAGAUCAAGUAGCGGUGAAAUGCUUAGAUAUGACAUCAGAACACCGAUUGCGAAGGCAGCUGGUUACUAUGGUUAUUGACGCUGAGGCACGAAAGCGUGGGGAUCAAACAGGAUUAGAUACCCUGGUAGUCCACGCCCUAAACGAUGGAUACUCGAAUGUUGGCGAUAUACAUGUCAGCGUCUGAGCGAAAGCAGUUAAGUAUCCCACCUGGGGAGUACGCUCGCAAGGAUUGAAACUCAAAGGAAUUGACGGGGGUCCCGCACAAGCGGAGGAGCAUGUGGUUUAAUUCGAUGAUACGCGAGGAACCUUACCCGGGACUUGAAAGUUACUGAGCUCUCAGAGAUGGGUGAAGCCUUCCCGCAAGGGACUAGGUAACUAGGUGCUGCAUGGCUGUCGUCAGCUCGUGCCUGUGAGGUGUUGGGUUAAGUCCCGCAACGAGCGCAACCCCUAUCACUUAGUUGCCAGCAUGUAACGCUGGGGAACUCUAAGUGAAACUGCCUGUCGUAAGACAGAGAGGAAGGAGGGGAUGACUGUCAAGUCAUCAUGGCCUUACGUCCCAGGGCUACACACGUGCUACAAUGGGCUGUACAAGAGGCAGCUAACCUGGCGACAGGGAUGCCAAUCUCAAUAAAGCUUCUACAGUUCAGGAUCGGAGUCUGCAACUCGGACUUCAGUGAAGUUGGAUCGCUAGUAAUCGCAUAUCAGCAAUGAUGCGGUGAAUACGUUCCCGGACCUUGCUACACACCGCCCGUCAAGCCAUGGAAAGCCGGGGUGUACCUAAGUAGGUUACCGUAAGGAGCCGUCCUAGGGUAAAACUGGUGACUGGGGCU
rnacentral:rRNA from 1 species